UCCUACGGGAGGCAGCAGUGAGGAAUUUUGCGCAAUGGGGGAAACCCUGACGCAGCAACGCCGCGUGAGUGAUGAAGGCUUUCGGGUCGUAAAGCUCUGUCAAGUGGGAAGAACCCAUAUGGUGUUAAUAUCGCCAUAUGCUGACGGUACCACUGAAGGAAGCACCGGCUAACUCCGUGCCAGCAGCCGCGGUAAUA
rnacentral:rRNA from 1 species